rnacentral:rRNA from 1 species
CGGCGGACGGGUGAGUAAUGCCUAGGAAUCUGCCUGGUAGUGGGGGACGAACGUUUCGAAAGGAACGCUAAUACCGCAUACGUCCUACGGAGAAAGCAGGGACCUUCGGGCCUUGCGCUAUCAGAUGAGCCUAGGUCGGAUUAGCUAGUUGGUGAGGUAAUGGCUCACCAAGGCGACGAUCCGUAACUGGUCUGAGAGGAUGAUCAGUCACACUGGAACUGAGACGCGGUCCAGACUCCUACGGGAGGCAGCAGAC